AUAACUGUGAAGAGUUGAGAUCCUGCGCAGUGGAAACAAGGAAACACUUGUGCCUGAUCUUAAAA
rnacentral:sRNA from 20 species